AUUGAACGCUGGCGGCAGGCCUAACACAUGCAAGUCGAGCGAGCGGCGGACGGGUGAGUAAUGUAUGGGGACUGCCCGAUAGAGGGGGAUAACUACUGGAAACGGUGGCUAAUACCGCAUACUACAGGAUCACCCAUAGGGGAUUAGCUAGUAGGUGGGGUAAAGGCUCACCUAGACGACGAUCUAUAGCUGGUCUGAGAGGAUGAUCGGCCACACUGGGACUGAGACACGGCCCAGACUCCUACGGAGGCAGCAGUGGGGAAUAUUGCGCAAUGGGCGAAAGCCUGAUGCAGCCAUGCCGCGUGUAUGAAGAAGGCCUUAGGGUUGUAAAGUACUUUCAGCGGGGAGGCGUUACCCGCAGAAGAAGCACCGGCUAACGCCGUGCCAGCAGCCGCGGUAAUAC
rnacentral:rRNA from 1 species